rnacentral:lncRNA from 1 species
AAAGAAAACAACAACAAAAGUAAGAAAAGACACGGAAGGCACUAACAACAAAGUAGGGAGAGGAGACUUAGAAAACAGUAACGUCUCCCCAAAACCCCAUCCAGAGAAAGUUUUCCUCUCGGGUGUCUCGGGCUAAAAAAAGUAAACAGGAAAAAGGUUUUAAAUUGAUUAUCCCAGUGACAAAUCCCAGGAAGCUUUCAAAUCAAAUUGCCCCAUUUUAGGUUUUUAACUCCUUCUGUCAAGUUUAACCUCUUUACCUCCUGCAUCCUGGUGAAACCCUCCCCAGCCCCCCUCGCUGGUGAUUAAAUCCCGAAGGUACACGCAGUCUUUCAGGGAGUGAAUGGCCCACAGAAAGAGCCCUCCCGCUCCCCCCAGCUGUGGUUUUCAGUUUUAUUCCACUUUCCGCCCUCUUCCCUUAAUGAACACAGGGCUAAUCUUGGGCCUUGUCAAGGAAGAGGCUGCAGACAUUAAUGAGGUAACUGCUGGACUCCAAUAUUCGUCUCAUAAGGAGCCCUUCUUUGUCUGUGAAGGAAAAACACACUGAUUAUCAUAAUGAGGUGAGCUAGCGUCCGCAGGCAGGGGCGACCG